rnacentral:rRNA from 1 species
GACGAACGCUGGCGGCAUGCCUAACACAUGCAAGUCGAGCGAGGACUUCGGGCCUAUCGGCGGACGGGGUGGUAACGCGGGGGAACAUUCCCGUGUGUUCGGAAUAGCUCUGGGAGACUGGGAGUAAUAACGGAUGAGACCUCCGGGGGAAAGAUUGAUUGGCGAAGGCUCGUGGCGCGUUGGAUUAGGUAGUGGGUGGUGUAAUGGCAUACCAAGGCGACGAUGCAUAGCUGGUUUGAGAGGAUGACCCGCUACACUGGGACUGAGACACGGCCCGGACCCCGAGGGAAGGGAGCAGUGGGGAAUCCUAGACGAUGGGGGAAACUCUGACGUCGCCGUGUCGGGUGAGCCGUGAAGGCGUUAGGGUUGUAAAGCUGUCUGAGAUGGGAAGAUAGUGACGGUACCAGCAGAAGAAGCCCCGGCUAACUACGUG